AGGUAUUUAAUCUAAUUAAGAUAUUUGAUUUCGACUCAGCCCAUCAUGGUCCCAACCCAUGAAUACCUU
rnacentral:tRNA from 1 species